rnacentral:misc_RNA from 1 species
GUGGAGGCCGCUCUCUGCUUCUUCUGCUGCUCCCCAUCACUUCUCUCCUUUUCUCUCUAAGCAUUUCAGAGUCAGAUUCGAAGCAGAAGUGUUGCAUCAGACAGAGUCCAAUCAAGAGUAAGUAGCCUUUUCAUUAGCUCCUACAUCACUCAACAUGGUUUCAAUGGCCAUUAUACCUUGUGGAAGUACAUCAAUUGCUCAAUGGGGAAUUCGUCCUCAGUGCAUGCUAAGACCUUCAACAAAUAAGAUAUCUUCAAUCCAAUAUGGGAUUAGCAACAUAGCUUCAUUGA